rnacentral:lncRNA from 1 species
GCCAUCUUACUUACGUACGAAUAAAAUUGGAGAAUCUGCGGAGAAACAAUGGGUCUGAUGAAACCCUUAUCUAAAAGAUCCUUAACCUGCUCCUUUAACUCUUUAAGCUCAGUUAGAGUUAUACGAUAUGGAGGGAUAGAGAUGGGUUGGGUAUCAAGAAGAAGAUCAAUACUAAACUCUAUUUCUCUAGCUGGAGGUACCCCUGGCAGAUCUUUGGGAAAAACCUCUGGAAACUCAUUGACCACACAGACUGAUUGAACUAUCGGGUUUUCAGACCUAAUCACUUUGACUCGAGCUAAAUGGUAAAUACACCCUUUUGUU